GACGAACCGAGCGAACGUUGUUCGGAAUCACUGGGCUUAAAGGGCGCGUAGGCGGGUGCUCAAGUCCGGGGUGAAAUCCUCCAGCUCAACUGGAGAACUGCCUCGGAUACUGGGCGUCUCGAGUGUGGUAGGGGUAUGCGGAACUAUCGGUGGAGCGGUGAAAUGCGUUGAUAUCGAUAGGAACUCCGGUGGCGAAGGCGGCAUACUGGACCACCACUGACGCUGAUGCGCGAAAGCCAGGGGAGCAAA
rnacentral:rRNA from 1 species